CGAAUGGAUUAAGAGCUUGCUCUUAUGAAGUUAGCGGCGGACGGGUGAGUAACACGUGGGUAACCUACCCAUAAGACUGGGAUAACUCCGGGAAACCGGGGCUAAUACCGGAUAAUAUUUUGAACUGCAUAGUUCGAAAUUGAAAGGCGGCUUCGGCUGUCACUUAUGGAUGGACCCGCGUCGCAUUAGCUAGUUGGUGAGGUAACGGCUCACCAAGGCGACGAUGCGUAGCCGACCUGAGAGGGUGAUCGGCCACACUGGGACUGAGACACGGCCCAGACUCCUACGGGAGGCAGCAGUAGGGAAUCUUCCGCAAUGGACGAAAGUCUGACGGAGCAACGCCGCGUGAGUGAUGAAGGCUUUCGGGUCGUAAAACUCUGUUGUUAGGGAAGAACAAGUGCUAGUUGAAUAAGCUGGCACCUUGACGGUACCUAACCAGAAAGCCACGGCUAACUACGUGCCAGCAGCCGCGGUAAUACGUAGGUGGCAAGCGUU
rnacentral:rRNA from 1 species